UGCGUAGGUGGCGAGGUAAGUUUGAUGUGAAAUCUCCGAGCUCAACUCGGAAAUGGCAUUGAAUACUAUCCCGCUUGAGGGUCGGAGGGGAGACUGGAAUUCUCGGUGUAGCAGUGAAAUGCGUAGAUAUCGAGAGGAACACCAGUGGCGAAGGCGAGUCUCUGGACGACUCCUGACACUGAGGCAAGACUGGGGAGGCGAAACA
rnacentral:rRNA from 1 species